rnacentral:rRNA from 1 species
GACAGAGGAUGCAAGCGUUAUCCGGAAUGAUUGGGCGUAAAGCGUCUGUAGGUGGCUUUUUAAGUCUGCCGUCAAAUCCCAGGGCUUAACCCUGGACAGGCGGUGGAAACUACCAAGCUGGAGUACGGUAGGGGCAGGGGGAAUUCCUGGUGUAGCGGUGAAAUGCGUAGAGAUCAGGAAGAACACCGGUGGCGAAAGCGCUCUGCUAGGCCGCAACUGACACUCAUGGACGAAAGCUAGGGGAGCGAAUGGG